UCGAGCGCAACCAUGAUCUACUGCUUAUGCUAAGGUGCAUUUAGUGCAGAUAGUGAAAUAGACUAGCACCUACUGCCCUAAGUGCCCCUUCUGGCAUAAGGGGCUGGCAAAACCCUCCCCGCUGC
rnacentral:precursor_RNA from 8 species